GCGCGCGGCUUGGCGGCGCCGCGCACUUGCUGCUGCAGAUCCACGACGAGCUCGUCUGGGAGGUGCACGAGGACGACCUGGAGAGAGCUGCUGCGAUAGUGAAGGAGGUGAUGGAAGGCUGCGGGCACGCGUGCGGUCUGCCCUCGCUGCCCGUCAACGUGGCCGCCGGCCGCAGCUGGGGCACGCUGCUUCCUCUAGGGCUCCCGCAGCAAGCGUAGACAAUACCUGACGCAGCGGUGACCGGACUGUGGCAAAGAUGACGCUUAAGCUAAGCGUCCACUUGUCGGUAUCGUACGCAACGGACGCAUCGUACAAAACAUCGUACGAUGCGGACAGGUGGACGCACUUAUAUAAGUUUCUAUAUAAAUAAUAUUACGAUCCGUUGCGUGCGAUACGUCCGAUGCGUACGAUACCGACAUGUGGACGCUAGCCUUUAGGCCACAAAAACACAAAGUGACAUUGUUAAUAUACUGCAACUGGUAGUUCAAAUAGUUUUAACUCUCUUUUUCAUAGAUUGUCAACGAUUUUAAUAAAAACAUGAAAGUUU